rnacentral:rRNA from 1 species
CCUACGGGUGGCAGCAGUGGGGAAUAUUGCACAAUGGGGGAAACUCUGAUGCAGCAACGCCGCGUGGGUGAAGGAGCGUUUCGGCGCGUAAAGCUCUGUUAGCGGGGAAGAAGAAAGACGGUACCCGACCAAGAAGCCCCGGCUAACUACGUGCCAGCAGCCGCGGUAAUACGGAGGGGCCGAGCGUUAUCCGGAAUUACUGGGUGUAAAGGGAGCGUAGACGGCGAGGUAAGUCAGAAGUGGAAGCCCGAGGCCCAACCGCGGAACUGCUUUGGAAACUGUUUUGCUGGAGUAUGGGUGCGGUAGGCGGAAUUCCUGGUGUAGCGGUGAAAUGCGUAGAUAUCAGGAGGAACACCGAUGGCGAAGGCAGCUUACUGAACCAUAACUGACGUUGAGGCUCGAAAGCGUGGGGAGCGAACAGGAUUAGAUACCCUGGUAGUC